rnacentral:lncRNA from 1 species
AUCAGAGGAACAUAGGCAUGGAACUGCAGACCCUGGAAUGAGCCGCAUCAGGAAUGACAGUAAUGGUGCAGCAUGAAUUGAAGUGGCAGGCAAAAAACUCAGGUUCCCUAGAGGAAGCUAGCCAUGUGUGAGUGGUAUUCUUCUCCUCUAAGAAAAGUAUUUUUCAAAGUCUCCUUUGAGUUAUCUUCUGGUGGCUCUGGGAUGCUGUGUUGUAUUAUGGGGAUGGAGAAUUCAAGGAGCAAAAUAAUCAUCUUAAGUUCUUAUGAAGAAG